rnacentral:rRNA from 1 species
CAGGUGUUNUUNANUUUGAUNGAAAGCCCCCNGCUCANCCGGGGAGGNUCAUUGGAAACUGGGGAACUUGAGUGCAGAAGAGGAUAGUGGANUUCCAAGUGUAGCGGUGAAAUGCGUAGAGAUUUGGAGGAACACCAGUGGCGAAGGCGACUGUCUUGUUUGUAACUGACACUGAGGCGCGAAAGCGUGGGGAGCAAACAGGAUUAGAUACCCUGGUAGUCCACGCCGUAAACGAUGAGUGCUAAGUGUUGGGGGGUUUCCGCCCCUCAGUGCUGCAGCUAACGCAUUAAGCACUCCGCCUGGGGAGUACGGUCGCAAGACUGAAACUCAAAGGAAUUGACGGGGGCCCGCACAAGCGGU